GAUGAACGCUAGCUACAGGCUUAACACAUGCAAGUCGAGGGGCAGCGAGUAGAUUGCUUGCAAUCUAUGUCGGCGACCGGCGCACGGGUGCGUAACGCGUAUGCAACCUACCCAUUACAGGGGGAUAACACUGAGAAAUCGGUACUAAUACCCCAUAACAUCCAGGGAGGCAUCUUCUUGGGUUGAAAACUCCGGUGGUAAUGGAUGGGCAUGCGUUGUAUUAGUUAGUUGGUGGGGUAACGGCUCACCAAGACAACGAUACAUAGGGGGACUGAGAGGUUAACCCCCCACAUUGGUACUGAGACACGGACCAA
rnacentral:rRNA from 1 species